AUGCUUGCUUGCUGGAGAUCCCUAUUCAUCUGAGGCCUUACAAGGGGCUUGAAGGCCUCCUUGAAGGCCAGAAAUCCUUUGGAGGGUUUACUUCUAAUGGAGCAGCAGUGUCAGAAUACAAUGCUUGGAAAUGAAAGCAAAAGCCUCCUUUGUUUUGAGAUCAAGGAGGGAACUGCUGUCCAUCCUCUUUUGGUCACUGCUGAUUUAGGAGAGUAUGGUAAGGCUUUUAAGCCCAACUGGCUGAAGAUUGACCCUGAGAGCUCUUUCUUGGCACCUACAAGCAGCCUGCUUUUUGGAAGCAGUAUGCUCCAGAUGUCACUGAUUUUGCACAUCUGGGAAGGAGAGUGCAACAAGGCUGGACAUCUGCCCUGUGAUCCCUGGAGCAGGGUUUUGCCUGCAGAUUACAACCUUGAAGACUUGCAGGGAAUCUUUGGCUGCAAAGACAGAUGGAUGGCUGUGCAACCAGGGCCCAAGCUAAAAGCAAUGGCACUGGUUUUAUUUUCACAUUAGCAUAACUCAGCUGACUUCAGCCAACAUGAAUUUUACUGAUAUUAAUAUCAGUGAAGAAAUGAUCAAAAUGUAUCUGUAGGCAGUGGAUAUUUUACUGACUUCUUCUAUGUCCUCUUUAUCUCUUUUUUUUUUAGUUUAGUGUAAGGAGAUGUUAUAAAUUCUUGCUGUCCCUAAAGAAAGUCGGUAGCCUGGGAAUAUGCUGCUUUAUUUUUUAAUUCUGUACAAAGUAGUGGUGAUAUUUACUUGCGUUAGAUUUGCAAUGAACAUCAGUUUUGAUCUGUUUGUGUGGAUUUGGGGGUGGACACUGCUCAAACAUUCAUACUUAAAGCAUUGAAACUCUUUGUAACCUAUUGCAGCUGAGGUCAGAGCUACUCCUACUGAGAUAGAGGGUAAAAAAUUGGUGAGUGGGCGUGAACAGGGAAAAGACAGAAAAUGAUAUUUUUUAAAUAAAAUAAAUAAAUAAAU
rnacentral:lncRNA from 1 species